CGGGUUAGAGCCGGAAUGGUUAGGCACUCCGUUUGGGGCGGAGAGUAACUAGGUUCGAUUCCUAGUAACCCGA
rnacentral:tRNA from 3 species